rnacentral:rRNA from 1 species
UACGGGGGGAGCAAGCGUUGUUCGGAUUUACUGGGCGUAAAGGGCGCGUAGGCGGCCACUGCAAGUCAGUUGUGAAAUCUCCGGGCUUAACCCGGAAAGGUCAACUGAUACUGCAGGGCUAGAGUGCAGAAGGGGCAACUGGAAUUCUCGGUGUAGCGGUGAAAUGCGUAGAUAUCGAGAGGAACACCUGCGGCGAAGGCAGCUCGCUGGGACGGUACUGACGCUGAGACGCGAAAGCGUGGGGAGCAAACAGG